rnacentral:rRNA from 1 species
CGGAGUAACGCGUGAGGAACCUGCCUCAAAGAGGGGGACAACAGUUGGAAACGACUGCUAAUACCGCAUAAGCCCACGGCUCGGCAUCGAGCAGAGGGAAAAGGAGCAAUCCGCUUUGAGAUGGCCUCGCGUCCGAUUAGCUAGUUGGUGAGGUAAUGGCCCACCAAGGCGACGAUCGGUAGCCGGACUGAGAGGUUGAACGGCCACAUUGGGACUGAGACACGGCCCAG